rnacentral:rRNA from 1 species
UUGAACGCUGGCGGCAGGCCUAACACAUGCAAGUCGAGCGCGAAAGUUCUUCGGAAUGAGUAAAGCGGCGGACGGGUGAGUAACGCGUGGGAAUCUGCCUAGUAGUGGGGGACAACAGCCGGAAACGGCUGCUAAUACCGCAUACGCCCUACGGGGGAAAGGGGGGGAUCUUCGGACCUCUCGCUAAUAGAUGAGCCUGGGUCGGAUUAGCUAGUUGGUUGGGCAAAGGGCUACCAAGGCUACGAUCCGUAACUGGUCUGAGAGGAGGAUCAGUCAAACUGGAACUGAGACACGGUCCAGACUCCUACGGGAGGCAGCAGUGGGGAAUAUUGGACAAUGGGGGCAACCCUGAUCCAGCCAUGCCGCGUGUGUGAAGAAGGCCUUAGGGUUGUAAAGCACUUUCAGUGGGGAGAAAGGUUUGUCACCUAAUACGUGAUGAAAUUGAUGUUACCCACAGAAGAAGCACCGGCUAACUCCGUGCCAGCCGCCGCGGUAA